GAAAUGGUAGCUCAGUGGCAGAGCAAUCGGCUGCAGUCCGAUAGGUCAUGAUUCAAUUCCUAUUUGUCGCU